CCGCCAGCGACUCUGCAGCGGGACCCCCGCGGGGGGCCGUGCCCCCCCACUCUGCCGGGGGAGGGGGUAGCGUGGGGGGCCCCCAUGGGAGACCGUGCCCCCCCGUGACGCAAGCGAACCUCAACGUCGUCUCGGUCGCUGUGGGGGCACUCACAGACACCUCUCACGACUGUGUGGAUGUGGGGGGACCGCCAAUCUCCUGUGUUCGUUGUUCCGCCUUCCUGUCCUCAAUCAGCCGCAUAGCGGACAACCCCAACGGUGACACGGUGUGGAGCUGCGAGUUCUGUGCGUGCCCCAACCUGCUGGACCUGCGCUACAACCCGGUGCCCCCCAAGGUGACGUCACCUUCAGGGGGGGGGCCCCCGGGGGGGGGCGCACCGGGGGGCCUCCCCCCC